GAAAUGCGAUAAGUAAUGUGAAUUGCAAAAUUCCGUGAAUCAUUAAAUCUUUGAACGCACCUUGCGCUCUUUGGCAAUCCAAAGAGCAUGUCUGUUUGAGAAUCAGUUUAAAUCUCACCUCCAGAGUUGGAAACAGCUCUUGAAGUGGUUCUGGGUUUUUCACCAACACUGAAAUUCCUUAAAUUCAAGUUGCCUGGUGUACUUUUGAAACGUAACCGGAAAGCAUGACCAAUGAAUAAGGCUUGCCUUUUUCUUGAUUGCUGAUAAAGGCCGUCUAGAUCCUACAUUUGGGGAAUAAUUUAAACACGAAAGUAGCAAUACUUUUAAGACUUGAUCUCAAAUCAGAUAAGACUACCCGCUGAACUUAA
rnacentral:misc_RNA from 1 species